AACGAACGCUGGCGGCAGGCUUAACACAUGCAAGUCGAGCGCCCCGCAAGGGGAGCGGCAGACGGGUGAGUAACGCGUGGGAACGUACCUUUUGGUUCGGAACAACUCCGGGAAACUGGAGCUAAUACCGGAUAAGCCCUAACGGGGAAAGAUUUAUCGCCGAAAGAUCGGCCCGCGUCUGAUUAGCUAGUUGGUGAGGUAACGGCUCACCAAGGCGACGAUCAGUAGCUGGUCUGAGAGGAUGAUCAGCCACACUGGGACUGAGACACGACCCAGACUCCUACGGGAGGCAGCAGUGGGGAAUAUUGGACAAUGGGCGCAAGCCUGAUCCAGCCAUGCCGCGUGAGUGAUGAAGGCCUUAGGGUUGUAAAGCUCUUUUGUCCGGGAAGAUAAUGACUGUACCGGAAGAAUAAGCCCCGGCUAACUUCGUG
rnacentral:rRNA from 1 species